GAUGAACGCUGGCGGCGUGCCUAAUACAUGCAAGUCGAGCGAACAGACGAGGAGCUUGCUCCUCUGACGUUAGCGGCGGACGGGUGAGUAACACGUGGAUAACCUACCUAUAAGACUGGGAUAACUUCGGGCAACCGGAGCUAAUACCGGAUAAUAUAUUGAACCGCAUGGUUCCAUAGUGAAAGACGGUUUUGCUGUCACUUAUAGCUGGAUCCGCGCCGCAUUAGCUAGUUGGUAAGGUAACGGCUUACCAAGGCGACGAUGCGUAGCCGACCUGAGAGGGGGAGCGGCCACACUGGAACUGAGACACGGUCCAGACGCCUACGGGAGGCAGCAGUAGGGAAUGUUCCGCAAUGGGCGAAAGCGUGACGGAGCAACGCCGCGUGAGUGAUGAAGGUCUUCGGAUCGUAAAACUCUGUUAUUAGGGAAGAACAAAUGUGUAAGUAACUAUGCACGUCUUGACGGUACCUAAUCAGAAAGCCACGGCUAACUACGUG
rnacentral:rRNA from 1 species